rnacentral:rRNA from 1 species
UACGGGGGGGGCAAGCGUUGUUCGGAAUUACUGGGCGUAAAGGGCUCGUAGGCGGCCAACUAAGUCGGAUGUGAAAUCCCCAGGCUUAACCUGGGAACUGCAUCCGAUACUGAUUGGCUUGAAUCCGGGAGAGGGAUGCGGAAUUCCAGGUGUAGCGGUGAAAUGCGUAGAUAUCUGGAGGAACACCGGUGGCGAAGGCGGCAUCCUGGACCGGCAUUGACGCUGAGUGAGCGAAAGCCAGGGGAGCAAACGGG